rnacentral:rRNA from 1 species
CGAGUCUGCCCUGAAGAUCGGAGUGCUUGCACUCUGUGAAACAAGAUACAGGCUAGCGGCGGACGGGUGAGUAGCACGUGGGUAACCUGCCCAAGAGAUCGGGAUAACACCUGGAAACAGAUGCUAAUACCGGAUAACAACAGAUGAUGCCUAUCAACUGUUUAAAAGAUGGUUCUGCUAUCACUCUUGGAUGGACCUGCGGUGCAUUAGCUAGUUGGUAGGGUAACGGCCUACCAAGGCGAUGAUGCAUAGCCGAGUUGAGAGACUGAUCGGCCACAUUGGGACUGAGACACGGCCCAAACUCCUACGGGAGGCAGCAGUAGGGAAUCUUCCACAAUGGACGCAAGUCUGAUGGAGCAACGCCGCGUGAGUGAAGAAGGGUUUCGGCUCGUAAAGCUCUGUUGUUGGUGAA